AAUAGAUACCCGGGUAGUCCACGCCCUAAACUAUGUCAACUAGUUGUCGGGGAAGAAAUUCCUUGGUAACGCAGCUAACGCGUGAAGUUGACCGCCUGGGGAGUACGGCCGCAAGGUUAAAACUCAAAGGAAUUGACGGGGACCCGCACAAGCGGUGGAUUAUGUGGAUUAAUUCGAUGCAACGCGAAAAACCUUACCUACCCUUGACAUGUACGGAAUUCCGCAGAGAUGUGGAAGUGCCCGAAAGGGAACCGUAACACAGGUGCUGCAUGGCUGUCGUCAGCUCGUGUCGUGAGAUGUUGGGUUAAGUCCCGCAACGAGCGCAACCCUUGCCAUUAGUUGCUACAUUCAGUUGGGCACUCUAAUGGGACCGCCGGUGACAAACCGGAGGAAGGUGGGGAUGACGUCAAGUCCUCAUGGCCCUUAUGGGUAGGGGCUUCACACGUAAUACAAUGGUCGGUACAGAGGGCUGCCAACCCGCAAGGGGGAGCUAAUCCCAGAAAGCCGAUCGUAGUCCGGAUUGUAGUCUGCAACUCGACUGCAUGAAGCCGG
rnacentral:rRNA from 1 species